CUUCUCUCCUCCUCCUACUCUCCUGAAGGUUCUUUCUCUCCUCCGUCUCUAGCUGCUGCUUGCUCCUCAUUGUGUGUUGGUCGGUGGCAUCUGAUCCACCGAGCGCACUGGCUGCUUCCGCCUUCUUCUCGGCGGCGUUUCUCUGAUCUGCAACGCAGACGUCGACGCCUUUCGCGCUUCUGAGGAGGAUGAUUGAGCUGCUGCUCAGCUGAAGCGAAAGAGGAUUGAACCUGUUAUGGUUCUAUCCUUAAGUUUGCAGGAUUUCCUUCUCCGAGCUAGAGUUCUGAAGCUUUACCGCCAAGCGCUGAGGAUUGCUCGAAGAGCGCCCGAUCAUGCUCAAGCCGAAUUGAGGCAGACGAUUAGGCGAGAGAUUGAGAAGAACCGGGACUGCAACGAUAAGCAAAGGAUCCGUUUCUUGAUCAGUGACGGGCUGGAGAGGGUGAAAACUCUCGACGAAAUGCUUGACAUGCAAGGCCACUGAAAUGGUGAAAGGAGUUAGAGCACACCCCUUGGUUCGAGAUUUUGUAUCAAUGGCUCAGCAGAACUUCAACUUCCGGAUAUCUCGUUACAUGCCCGGGGCUUGGGCCCAGCCCAGAAGGAACUGUUUAUGAGUUCAAACAUGGGCCCAAGAGAAGCCUAGACCGAGACUAUUGAAACUAGGUCCAUUGCGAAGCCCAUACUCUAUUGCAGCUUGAGGCCCAAGCAUUAGCCCAUAUCCACUCCGAUCGAUCAUACUCGGCUCAGUUUCCCGUUGAAAGUCGAGAACCGAAAGGCAUUUGUAUUCUUAUGCUCAAGUUCACAUAUGGGUUUCAAGAUCAUUUAAGUGAUCACUUGAACGAUAUGCCAAUGACAGAAGGCCUCUAAUGACUCCUGAAAGUUGAGCA